CUGUAAUAGUCCUCUACAACCGGAACCCUUGUUUUUACUUAAACGUUCCCCCCGGAAUGGUUAUUUCGUAGUACAUGCUAAAAGCUGUUAGUGAGAGGUAAAGUAGUAUUCAACAUGGCAGAGACCCACAGCUUGCAGGACAUGAGGCAACAGGCAGCCGUUGCUGCCAAAGUCUUCAUUCAGAGAGAUUAUACCAAAGGCACUGUGUGCCAGUUCCAAACCAAGUUCCCCUCUGAGCUGGAGACCCGGAUUGACAAGCAGCAGUUUGAGGAGACGGUGCAGACACUGAAUAACCUGUACGCUGAAGCGGAGAAACUGGGAAGCCAGUCAUAUAUUGAAGGCUGUCUGGCCUGCCUCACAGCCUACACCAUCUUCCUGUGUAUGGAGACUCACUAUGAGAAGGUUUUGAAGAAGAUUGCAAAGUACAUUCAGGAGCAGAAUGAUAAGAUCUACGCACCACGAGGCCUCCUGCUCACCGAUCCCAUCGAGAGAGGCCUGCGAGUUAUCGAAGUUACUAUCUUUGAAGACAGAAGCUAGAUAAAAGCUGCCAUGAUCGAGCAGUAAUAAAAGAGGACUCACUAUGUGUACCAGAGAUACAAGCAGCUGUUUGGCUGAGCAGAGGUACAAGUCUGCAGCAGCCCAGCACCAGUGGCCAGCUCCCUGAGGACCCCCAGACCUGCACCUUUUAAUACUGCGUCUCUACAAUCUAUCUCUUUCUGCUAAUCAUGUGCAUGUUCAGAAUAUCUUUUCCCCAUGCAUUAAUUAAGGGCUUGUUACUGUAUAUCCUUGUAUUUGGUUGGAGAAAACAAACUCACUUACACAUUGUAUUGGCAUUCUUUAAACCAUGAGUAAUUAUCCUUUAUCUUGGACUAAAAACAACUUUAUGAACUUUUGUAUAUUUGGUUUUUGGACCCUCCUUUUUGAAUAAUAAACAGACAGGGUAUUUUUUUAUGAAGGACUAUGGAACUCAUCCACACACAUGCUUUAAUUGAUUGUCUUGGCUGAACUGAGGCUUUUAUGUAAUCAAGAAACUGAACUCUGGUUAUUAGUGUGAUUUGUUUCACAUCCAGCACCCCACAGUUUGUUGGCUUUAUUCUUAUUCAUGUAUUCUUGCAAGGAUGCUUGGUAGUUUAUCAUCUUCCCUGCAUGUUUACUUUGUAGCAUUUUACCUUAUAGUUAACUGACAACACUGAACUUUGUCAGGAUCCAAACAUUCCUGUCAAAUGUCACAGAUUCUGACCUUAAUGUAUAUCUUUGAUUUUUUGAUAUUGUCAAUUUUUUUCUUUUUUAUAAACUGUGCUAUGCAUAGUGUUUGACUACUGUUGAGCUUUGGCUCAUGUCUAAUAAGCAUAUAUUCAUAUUUUGUGAGAUUGCCUUUGACCGAAGUAUUAAAAGUGCUCUUGUUAGUUGACAGUGCCUGUAAUGGUUUUGAAUGUUUCCUUUGUUAAAGUCUAAGGUGCUGCUUACACCAGGACUUAAAACAGAGAUUUCAAUUAAUUCCAAUGACUACAAGUGAAUUUGCUCAUGGGGGCUAAAGAAACUCAGUUAAAAUGUUUUGCGUCAAGUUUAACGUUUGUGAAUUUGACCUUCAAAUUUGCAUUUUUGACCAACAGCCAGCUUCCUUGACUGUACCAAUUCUCCUGUUGGCAACAGUGCUAAGCUAACAAGCUUGUUAGCUCUAAGAGCUUUUUUCCCUCUUUAAUAACUUUUUUUAUUGAUUGAAAUGGUGUAAACUAGUGAUCAGGGGGGGGGUAUAAACAGAACAAUAGAGGGAAUAUUUCCAGCUGGCUGGGCUAGCACCAGAUUUAGCAGUUAGCUUGCCAGCUACAGCAUUUCCCCAGCUAGCCCUGUGAGUACGGUCACCAAGCUUUAGAACCAAAUACUUUGUAAAGACGCAACAGAAACAUUUUACCGCACCAGUUUGUGUGUUCAGUGUGACCAGACCUUAACUGUGAACUCAUGUCAGUCAGAUCUUGGCUUUGUCCCCUGUUGCUAACAAGCAUCUAAAACCUAAGAUUAUGAUAUGUAUGUAACCCUAACAAAGGUUGAAUAUACUGUAGUACGUAUGACUGGUAAUGUUAAAUUAUGAAAUAACUACAUGUACAAGUAUAUAUUUCUGAAUGCCAUAGCUAUGGAUCAAUUAUCUUGAUUUCUAAGUAUGUAAAUAAUAUUUCAUGAAUGAGUUUUGAUUUAGCUCAUACUUUAUUUAUCUGGAGUUUUCUAUUUUUUUUUUCUGUUGAAAUCCAAUGUUUUAUUAAUCUAAACUUGUAUGCUAACAAAUAAAAUGUGUACAUAUUUUA